UACAGAGGCCUCGAGCGUUAGGCGGAAUCACUGGGCUUAAAGCGCGUGUAGGCGGGUCGUUAAGUGUCCGCGUGAAAUCCCACGGCUCAACCGUGGAACUGCCGGGCAUACUGGCGACCUUGAGGCACUUAGGGGCGAGCGGAACAAAUGGUGGAGCGGUGAAAUGCGUAGAUAUCAUUUGGAACGCCGACGGUGAAAACAGCGCGCUGGGAGUGUCCUGACGCUGAGACGCGAAAGCCAGGGGAGCGAACGGG
rnacentral:rRNA from 1 species